rnacentral:rRNA from 1 species
AGAGUUUGAUCCUGGCUCAGGAUAAACGCUGGCGGCGUGCCUAAAACAUGCAAGUCGAACGGGCUCUUCGGAGCUAGUGGCGGACGGCUGAGUAACACGUGGGUGACCUGCCCUCGAGCGGGGGAUAACUGCCCGAAAGGGUGGCUAAUACCGCAGAUCUCUGGGAUUCGGUUUUCAGAGUGAACCUCGGGGGUUCGGGGAGGGGCCCGCGGCCGAUUAGCUGGCUGGUGGGGUAAUGGCCUACCAGGGCAUCGAUCGGUAGCUGGUCUGAGAGGAUGAUCAGCCAGACUGGGACUGCGAACGGCCCAGACUCCUACGGGAGGCAGCAGUUAGGAAUUUUGGGCAAUGGGCGAAAGCCUGACCCAGCAACGCCGCGUGGGUGAUGAAGGCCCUCGGGUCGUAAAGCCCUUUUCCCAGGGAAGAUGGUGACGGUACCUGGGGAAUCAGCCCCGGCUAACUACGUGCCAGCAGCCGCGGUAAUACGUAGGGGGCAAGCGUUGUCCGGAUUUAUUGGGCGUAAAGCGCUCGCAGGUGGUCCGAUGCGUCGUGCGUGAAAGACCCCGGCUCAACUGGGGGGCGUCGUGCGAUACGGUCGGACUGGAGGCCAGUAGGGGGAUGCGGAAUUCCGGGUGUAGUGGUGGAAUGCGUAGAGAUCCGGAGGAACACCAGCGGCGAAGGCGGCAUCCUGGACUGGUCCUGACACUCAGGAGCGAAAGCGUGGGGAGCGAUCCGGAUUAGAUACCCGGGUAGUCCACGCCGUAAACGAUGAGCACUAGGUGUCGGGGGUAUCGACCCCCUCGGUGCCGCAGCUAACGCGAUAAGUGCUCCGCCUGGGGACUACGGCCGCAAGGCUAAAACUCAAAUGAAUUGACGG